rnacentral:misc_RNA from 1 species
GUAACAAGGUUUCCGUAGGUGAACCUGCGGAAGGAUCAUUACCGAGUGCGGGCCCUCGCGGCCCAACCUCCCACCCGUGUCUCUCUCUACCUGUUGCUUUGGCGGGCCCACCGGGGCCACCCGGUCGCCGGGGGACGUCCGUCUCCGGGCCCGCGCCCGCCGAAGCGCCCUGUGAACCCUGAUGAAGAUGGGCUGUCUGAGUCGCAUGAAAAUUGUCAAAACUUUCAACAAUGGAUCUCUUGGUUCCGGCAUCGAUGAAGAACGCAGCGAAAUGCGAUAAGUAAUGUGAAUUGCAGAAUUCCGUGAAUCAUCGAAUCUUUGAACGCACAUUGCGCCCCCUGGCAUUCCGGGGGGCAUGCCUGUCCGAGCGUCAUUUCUGCCCUCAAGCGCGGCUUGUGUGUUGGGCGUGGUCCCCCCGGGGACCUGCCCGAAAGGCAGCGGCGACGUCCGUCCGGUCCUCGAGCGUAUGGGGCUCUGUCACUCGCUCGGGACGGAUCGGCGGAGGUUGGUCACCACCACAGUUUUACCACGGUUGACCUCGGAUCAG